rnacentral:misc_RNA from 1 species
GACAGCCAAGGGCUACACAAAGAUCUGGGAGACCUAUUAAAUCUAUUUGUAGUAGGCUGAAAGCCAAGGAAGGCCGGAUUAGGGGUAACCUGAUGGGGAAACGUGUGGAUUUUUCUGCACGUACAGUCAUCACACCUGAUCCCACUAUUAAUAUUGAUGAACUAGGUGUGCCUUGGAGUAUUGCAUUGAAUCUCACCUAUCCAGAAACUGUGACUCCAUAUAACAUUGAAAGGUUGAAGGAGCUUGUUGAAUAUGGGCCACAUCCUCCCCCGGGUAAAACUGGUGCAAAGUAUAUCAUAAGGGAUGAUGGUCAAAGACUUGAUCUUCGUUAU